AUGGAGCCGCGGCGCCUGAGCCUGGCAGCGGCGGAAGAUGGAGGCCCGGCGCCUGAGCCUGGCUGCGGCGGAGACGGAGCUCGAUGUGCUGGAGUCGCCGGCGCUGUCUUGCUGCCGGCGAUGGAGCUGGAGGUACUCGGAGGUGGGGAGCUCGAGGUGCUGGGUGCGGGAGCUCGAGGACCUGACGCCGGCGACGGGGCCCUAGUGCUGGGGAUGGAGCUCGAGGUUUUGGCCGGCGGGAGAUCGAGGUUCUGGCCGGUGGACGGAGGUUCCCCGCGGUGGAUCACGACGAGCGGACGGAGCGACGAGCGGACGGAGAACUGGAUACUGGAUUGUAAUGAUUUCAAAUUUCGGAAGGGUCUUAUUGUAAAAUUGAUUUGUUCACGAUUCCUCCCCCUGGAGUCAUCUAUUACCGAACGGAGGGAGUACUAG
rnacentral:rRNA from 1 species